CUGACAGGCAGAAUAAUCCUUAGCUGGCCCUCCUCUUGGAGGGGAGAUUAGAACAGAUGAUUGGAGUUCAGGUGAUAUAUGAUUAACAUCUCUGCACAGUGGGGCUGGGAACUGGUAUAGCCUCUGUGGAAAGAAGUCUGGA